AAUACAGGGUGCAAGGUUGAACCACGCUCAGAGAUGAUGUGUUUGGAGAGAUCAUACUUCACUUCCACCUCAACUUUAACAUCUUGGAUAAUGAAGAUAAGCCAGCGGCAAAUGUUCUCAGCCUCUGCCACCUAGUGCUGCAGAGAAAUCAGCCUUCCCAUCGGCCUGCAGCAGCACGCCACACCAACAGCGCACACCAGCUCAGUGAGCAGCGAGGUCAGGAAAGUCACCCCUCCCAGUGAACUGUGCACCUGCUGUCACAGGCUUCUAGUGAUCGCCAGCGCUGGUGCUCCGCUCCGGAAGUGCCUGUGGUGGACACUGUCACGAAGGCAGUUAAGGAACUGGCUCUCAUUCAACAUUUUACAACUUGCAAGGGCUGCAGAUCUGCAGAAGCACCAAUCUUUCACUUACACUGAUCAUGUGGCAUUUGGAAUUCAGGUAUAUAUUGGCCCUAAGGAGUCAUCUUUUCUCUCUCUCUUGACUAUACUGGCAAGGAAAUUAAACACAUCGUUCCUACUGUAAAACUA